rnacentral:lncRNA from 1 species
GUUUCCUGUCGCGUGGAUGUGUUUCCUCUCUGGCCGUUGCCAUCCGCUCAAAUCUACAGGCAUCCCGCAUGUUCCCGGGCUCGUCUCCCCAAUACAGGGCACCAAGCAUCCUACCAAGGCGAAUCCAUUGACCCGGGUUUAAGUUGAGGACUCCCCCAGGACCCCGAGUGCAGCAUCUGGAUCCCCCUGCCCUGCCCUGCCCUGCCCUGCCUUGCGCUGCAGCCACUUCCGUUGUCCUGCCAGGCUGUAGACUGCGCAGACCUCCUGGAGACAGAUGGAAGUUCCUUGGGUCGACAGAUUACAGCUUCUGGAGCCCCCGACUCCCUUCAACUCCGUGAUGGACACCCACUGUCCAGGGAGAGGAUGCCUGGAAAUAACAGCCGGGAUCUACAGUGGCCAUAAGAGUUGUCUCUGUCUUGCUACAUAGACAAACUGGUGUUCCUGAGUGAGGAUUGUGCCCUGAGAUGGGGGAUUCAGUUUCUUCAUUUAUAGUUGGAAGUGUGUGAAGGUAAGCCACUUGGGAAGGGUUUUUCUCUCCACUCUGUGACAACAGGCAAGAGUGAGGGUCCAACAAUACAGAGGAAGUGACGUGUCGCUGCUACUCUUCCAUGCCCAGUGCCAGGAGCGACGGUACACUCCAGAGUGCUGUGCCCUGAUGGGCCUUUGAGCGGCCAGUGCAGUGGAUCAUCAGCCCUGUCUCCCAAGAGCUCCAGUCCCUUCUCCGGGGAGGAAGUGGGUCCACUGGCAGCUCAGGAGGCCAUAGCAGGAUUGUCACGUGUGCUCAACAGUCCUCGGCUUUCCAGAAGAUGCUGGAACAGGGCCCUUGAAGAUGUUUGUGGACACCAGAGGGCCAAAGAAGACAAAGUGAAACUGGAGACACCGCCCCCCUUGGCAUCAUGAAACUGCCGAUUUUACUGGCUCAUGCAUGGGAGACACCAGCAUACAAAGUCUUGACACCAACACCUCAGAGGGCUGUGUUCUGUCCCCGUGACCAUCAGCCAGUGCCUGGAAAGACUAGUGACAAGAACUUGUUGCCAACUUCCUCUUACCUCCCUAACAGUUGUGCAUGCAAUAAACCCCAUAGGUUAAUUCAGUCUGCCUUUUAAAUCUGUGUCAAGCCAUGAACUCAGCUGGGUGUGGAAAAGGAGACUAGCUCCUGACACGCCUGUGACUUUCCUGUUCUUGAUGCCCCCUGAGGCUUGGGCUUCAGGGUGUUGGGAGUGGACAAGUAGGGCUGGUAGCCUCAGAUUUUAGGGCUUGUGAGAGUUGAGAUAGCUGAACAGGCAAGGUCAGAACUUGGGGAAGGUGCCUGUGUCAGUAAAAAAGGCUGGGGUGUCACAGUCCUAGGAAGUGACGUAUCAUUGCUGAGAACUAGGGAUGUGAAUGGGUAAAUGGACUGGAAUAUAAAAUGUAGAGCAUUUUCCUGACAGGACAGGUGACUGUAGACAGGAACUAGGGUAUGCUUAGGGACUGGCUUUGGAGGACCUUAAGGAACAGAAAGAAGUACUGUGGGUGGGAUGUCAGGUGGGGAGAAAGAAGAAACCCCCUUGAGUAACUUGGAUACCAAUAGGGCC